rnacentral:rRNA from 1 species
UAGUCCACGCCGUAAACGAUGGACACUAGUUGUUGGGAUUUGUCUCAGUGACUAAGCGAAAGUGAUAAGUGUCCCACCUGGGGAGUACGAUCGCAAGAUUGAAACUCAAAGGAAUUGACGGGGGCCCGCACAAGCGGUGGAGCAUGUGGUUUAAUUCGAUGAUACGCGAGGAACCUUACCAGGGCUUAAAUGUAGAGUGACAGGGGUAGAGAUACCUUUUUCUUCGGACACUUUACAAGGUGCUGCAUGGUUGUCGUCAGUUCGUGCCGUGAGGUGUCAGGUUAAGUCCUAUAACGAGCGCAACCCUUAUCGUUAGUUGCUAGCAGGUAAAGCUGAGGACUCUAGCGAGACUGCCGGUGCAAACCGUGAGGAAGGUGGGGAUGACGUCAAAUCAUCACGGCCCUUACGUCCUGGGCUACACACGUGCUACAAUGGGCCAUACAAUGGGCUGCGAUCCCGCGAGGGUGAGCUAAUCCCUUAAAAUGGUCCUCAGUUCGGAUUGGAGUCUGCAACUCGA